UGCAGUCGAACGGCAGCACGAGAGAGCUUGCUCUCUUGGUGGCGAGUGGCGGACGGGUGAGGAAUACAUCGGAAUCUACCUUUUGGUGGGGGAUAACGUAGGGAAACUUACGCUAAUACCGCAUACGCCCUUCGGGGGAAAGCCGGGGACCUUCGGGCCUGGCGCUGAUAGAUGAGCCGAUGUCGGAUUAGCUAGUUGGUGAGGUAAUGGCUCACCAAGGCGACGAUCCGUAGCUGGUCUGAGAGGAUGAUCAGCCACACUGGAACUGAGACACGGUCCAGACUCCUACGGGAGGCAGCAGUGGGGAAUAUUGGACAAUGGGCGCAAGCCUGAUCCAGCCAUACCGCGUGGGUGAAGAAGGCCUUCGGGUUGUAAAGCCCUUUUGUUGGGAAAGAAAAGCGAUCGGUUAAUACCCGGUUGUUCUGACGGUACCCAAAGAAUAAGCACCGGCUAACUUCGUGCCAGCAGCCGCGGUAAUACGAAGGGUGCAAGCGUUACUCGGAAUUACUGGGCGUAAAGCGUGCGUAGGUGGUGGUUUAAGUCCGUUGUGAAAGCCCUGGGCUCAACCUGGGAAUUGCAGUGGAUACUGGGUCACUAGAGUGUGGUAGAGGAUAGUGGAAUUUCCGGUGUAGCAG
rnacentral:rRNA from 1 species